GACGAACGCUGGCGGCGUGCUUAACACAUGCAAGUCGAACGGUAAGGCCCUUCGGGGUACGCGAGUGGCGAACGGGUGAGUAACACGUGGGUGAUCUGCCCUGCACUUCGGGAUAAGCCUGGGAAACUGGGUCUAAUACCGGAUAGGACCACUGCCUGCAUGGGUGGUGGUGGAAAGCUUUUGCGGUGUGGGAUGGGCCCGCGGCCUAUCAGCUAGUUGGUGAGGUAACGGCUCACCAAGGCGACGACGGGUAGCCGGCCUGAGAGGGUGACCGGCCACACUGGGACUGAGACACGGCCCAGACUCCUACGGGAGGCAGCAGUGGGGAAUAUUGCACAAUGGGCGCAAGCCUGAUGCAGCAACGCCGCGUGAGGGAUGACGGCCUUCGGGUUGUAAACCUCCUUUAGUAGGGAAGAAGCGAAAGUGACGGUACCUGCAGAAAAAGCACCGGCUAACUACGUGCCAGCAGCCGCGGUAA
rnacentral:rRNA from 1 species